UUCCUCACAUUUUUGAAGCUUUUCCGGACAUUUUUGUGACUUUUCAAUGUUCUUUUAUUUAAAAAAAAAAAAUUUCAAAUGCUAGGAAAUUGAAUACAACUUGUGAGGAGCGUUGUAGGGAACCAUCCACAUUAUUUCUUUUGAAAAUGUGGUUGAAAGAACCCCAAAUUUCUGAUAAAGAAACUUUUUGAAAAUGGGUCAAAUUUGACCUGAGAACAACAUGAGGGUUAAGUGUUUGUUGUUUAUCUCUGUUCCAUAAAGUCACCAUGUAAGUAACUUCUUAUAUUCCAGAUGAUUCACAGUUCUGAUGUCUGAAUGAGUUAAAUUUCAAGAGAGUAAUGUGUAGUAUUUCUUGAAUGACAGGAUUUUCUUCCACUAAAUAAAACAAAAUCGGAUUUUAAAUGCUAAACAUUGUGUGAAAUUCCUCCCUAACUGACCUGCAUCGUUAGUUCAGAGUACGACCAAUUUUCAGCAGUUUGUAAAGCAGGAAGUUUUAUUUUGAAAGGUAACGUCACCAGCAGCAAGUUGAGAUUGAGUCGAUCGAACUUGCCGAUGUCUCGUAAUAUCACACGUGCAGUUUUAUGCAUAUACACACACAUGCAAUGUCAUAUAAUGAGACCGACUGAGCAUGUCAGGUCGGCCAAAAUGAACGCCGACGGCUCCUCCAACGGACGACGGCACGGAACACACCGAACAGACUCGAGUCACUGACUUCGCCAGACUGUCCAACGGCCGAUAAUCGGGUUGGUGUGUCAGCACCUUGAACACCUGUGUGGGGGUCCAGGGCCUUUAAAAACAAUUUCAUUCUUUUAGCAAAUGCUAUAAAAUUGAAUAAAACCCCCCAAAUUCAAUUAAAGUAGUGAUCUGAUUUUUGAUUUUACCUACAAAGAGCAUUGUAUGGAACAAUCUGUUAUUUUUGGGCAGUUUGCUUGAAAGAAACUCAAAUGUUGUGAUGUAGAAACUUUGAAAAAGAAAUUGGCCAAAUUAUAUAAAAAAGUGCCAUGAAAACCUAACAGCCAAUGAAAACCUGUAAGCGAGAGAUGUGAUCGAAUGAAACGGCAGCAGCGUUUCUCUUCAACUCCUCCGCGUGAUCCUCCUCCUCGAGCGCCGUCCACGUUUUUAUUUUAUUCUAUUUUCAUCGUUCAAACUCUGAACUUCAGCAGCGUUUAUUCUCCUCUACUGGAUCUGUUCCUCUGUGUUCAUUCUUAAAAAAAACACAUGAAAGUAGUUUGAAGACCAUCAUAUCAUAAAAUUAAAGUUAUUCUUCCCCCGCCCUCCCUCUCGCUCUCCCCCCCCCACACACACAUAAAAACUGCACAGAUCAACAUUUCAGACGACACAGAAGCACUGCACUUUCAUUGGCCGAAACAAUCCCAGAGAACUGCAGACGUUAUUGUUUGUUUUUAUUUUCAGGAGGCAAAGAACAACAAUGUUCUUUUUCGCUUGGCCAUUUUUUGUUUGUUUUCAAGGCUUCACACAAACCAAUACGUUCUUAAUUGGUUACACUUUACUUGAAGGUAUCUACAUAAGAGUGACAUGACACUGUCAUUAACGUGUCAUAAACGUGUAUGACAACGCUUCUUUUAGGAUGUGCCAUUCGGUUAGGGUUAGGUUAGUUCAAAUUGGCGAGCCAGCCAGAAGGGUUGGGUUAGAGUUAAACUUCGAAUUGGCGAGCCAGCCAGGAGGGUUGGGUUAGGGUUCAUGUGUUCAUGACGGUGUCAUGUCACUCUUAUGUAGAUACCUCCAAUAAAGUGUUACCGUUUGUUUUUAUUUUCAGGAGACAAAGAAGAACAAUGUUUGUUUUUUUUACACUAGGCCACACACAUUUUUUAUUUUAUUUUUUUAUUUCAAAAUGGCCAAUAUUUCCCUCCCUUCCUCCGUCAUUUGAAGCUGCGACCCAGAAGGGAAGAAGAAACCAACACAGCAUGUUUUUAAUUAUUUUUUAAUUUUUUUUUUUUUUUGUUCCAAGCAGUGCUGUGAAUCGUACGAGCUGUGAUUGUGUCCUUAUUUUGUCGUGCAUAUGUGGGGUAACUUUGCUAAGUGUGAAAAUAUUUUGACAAGUGCCACACCCCGGCCUGUGCGAUGCUUACCAUAAUGUCUAUAAAACAGGAAGUGAUUUCUUCUGGUGGGACGAACACCAGAAAAGAGAGAAUUAUGAUUAUUAUGCUUCUGAUUAUUAUUAUUAUUAUUAUUAUGGUGACUAUUAUUAUUAUUAUUCCUUCUACUGUAUCAUCAUUGCGACCAUGAUUAUCCUCAAUCAUUUAAGAGUCUAUUGUUUUGCCAUGUAUUUUUUAUUUUGAGAUUUUUAUUUUAGUUUUCUUUUUAUUAUUAAAGGUAAAAUGAACUAACAAAUCCUGAUGUCGUGUGCUGCUUCUGAAUGUUUCCCUUCAUCUCAAAUGUUUGACUGAAUUUGGUGUUUUGGGGGUAAAAAGACAUCCGAGAUUAAACCGGAUUAAACUGGAUUAAAGGUUGUGUUUUUGG